CGGUAAAGUGCGAGCAGACGAGGUGUCAGGUGUAAAUACGUUAAAAAUUAAAGCUAAAAGACUAAACAGUUAGAUCGUAAUAUCUUUUAAUUUGUGAAUAAAUGUGUUUCUGGUGGAUAACAACGACAACUUACCAAAAUAUUGCUCAUGAUCACACGUAAAACUUCUUUCUGAGACAUAGUGUACACACCGGUCUUACUGACAAUAACGAAGUGACGUCACCAUCUAUGUAUAGAAUGCUUUCUGAGAGCGAAUGGAAAAUGCGUCACAUAUUCUGACAAAUAAACAGUAGGGUGUCGUUAUUGAAAUACCGCGAGAAUACUGGAAGAAUAGAGAUGCCAACUAUAGUGUUUAAAACAAAUAAUUUUUUAACAAGCGUUUGUGAUUUGUCAGGAUAAUAAAAACAAUAAGAUAUCGAAAAGAUCAAAGCAAAUAAAUUCGACAGAAAUCUGAGAUUCGGCAAUAUAUUAAAGACGGGUUAUGUUCACCUAUAUUGUGUUUGGUAAAGACUGUAACUAUAUGUAGUGAACCAGUCUUCGGCUUAUACCCACUGAAGAAGAGCAUUCAGGGGAGAUAAUUGAGUAAUGACAAUUCUGGAACGGUUGCGAAGAAAAACAAAUAAUGCGAGAAUAUUUAGUGCGAUUCGCUACACAAUUAUGAUGUCAUUGAUAUAACUUUUCUUGAGCUCCCACAAUGAUAGACUAUCUAGAUCUCUCUGAAACUGAAUAGUGUCAGCCAAAGUUUUUAUGGAUCUGUACAUGACACAGUCAUCCGCAAAUAGACGGACGUUUGACUUCACAGACGAAGGUAGAUCAUUCAUGUAGAGCAGAAACAAAAGAGGCCCAAGAACUGAUCCCUGGGGUACGCCAGAAAUUACAGGGGCCAUGGUGGAAGUUGCCCCAUCUACAACAACCUGUUGAGUACGGUUACCAAGAAAAGCUUUAAUCCAAGAGUGUGUAGUGCCCGUGAUGCCAUAAUGGGCUAGUUUCAGCAACAAUCUACCGUGGUGUACAACAUCGAAGGCUUUGCUAAAAUCCAUGAUGGCAACAUCCAUCUGGUCUCUCUGCAUGGUAGAAGCUAAGUCAUGGAUAAAGCCCACAAGUUGGGUUUCGCAAGACCGCCGGGCUCGAAAGCCAUGUUGGUUGUCCACCAGGAUAUUAAAGUUGUCAAGAUGGUCUAAGAUGUUUCUAACAAUGAUAUGCUCCAGCAAUUUACAAGCAAUACAUGUUAAUGAGACUGGUCUAUAAUUACUAGCUUGGUACUUUUCACUUUUUUUUUAAAAUAGGAGCUACAAAAGCCAUGGACCAGUCAGAAGGGACAGAACCAGAAAUAAGUGAUUUGUUAAAAAGAAUUGUAAAAAUAGGUGCAAUUUCAUUUGCACAUUCCUGUAAGAUUCUGGGUUUGAUUUGGUCUGGCCCUGCGGCCUUGUAAGGAUUCAGUUUGAGUAGGAGUUUCUUAACACCAUUUACCGUAAUAUUGAUUGAUGGCAUGUUUUUAUACGGGCUAUUACCAAGAUCUGGAUAUGAGCUGUUUGUGUCAUUAGUAAAAACAGAAGAAAAUUGUUUAUUUAAGACUUCAGCUUUUUCCUUGGGGUUAGAUUUUAAGACCCCAUCAUCCCUCAAAGGUGCUACACCACAGGAGUUUUUUAAGCUUUUUAUGAAACCCCAAAAACGUUUAGUUGUCCCAUGUUUAUGUUCUGUUUCAUCACAUAUUAUGUUGUUCAUGUAGUCCCAGUAAGAGUUACGAAUUUUCUUUUGUAUGGAUGAUCUGAUCUUCUUAAUUUUUGGAAGUAAAGUGUAAUUUUUAGUCUUUUUCAUUUUGCUAUAAGUCCGGUCACGUUUUUUUCAUUAGCUUUUUAAUGUCAGAAUUCAGCCAUGGUAGAUGCUGCUUGCCAGAAACAGUUUUAGUUGGUAUGUAUUUUUCAACAAGUGUGUUAAGACAGACUUUGAAUUUGUCCCAAAGCUGCUGGACAUUCAUAUCAUUAAUAUUGUUUACAUCUAUAAAAUUUAUUAAACAAGUUUUGAUUUC